GGCGCCAGCGGCGUCCACCGGGUCCCUCCGGGUCCCACCGGGUCCCACUGGAUCCCUCCGGGUCCCACCGGAUCCCACCGGGUCCCACCGGGUCCCACUGGAGCGGCCCCGCGGCUUCCCGGGGUGGCCGUGCCCGAAAUCGGGAUGGGGGAGAAGUGGGAAUGGUGGAGGUGGUGGGAGUGGUGGUGGGAAUGGUUGGUUUGGGAAUGGUGGAGUUGGUGGGAAUGGUGGAUUUGGGAAUGGUGGAGGUGGGAAUGGUGGAGGUCAUGGGAAUGGUGGAUUUGGGAAUGGUGGAGGUGGGAAUGGUGGAGGUCAUGGGAAUGGUGGAUUUGGAAAUGGUGGAUUUGGGAGUCGUGGGUUUGGGAAUGGUGGAGGUGAUAGGAAUGGUGGAGGUGAUAGGAAUGGUGGAUUUGGGAAUGGUGGAGAUGGUGGGAAUGCUGGAGGAGGUGGGAAUGCUGGAGGAGGUGGGAAUGGUGGAUUUGGGAAUGGUGGAGGUGUUGGGAUUGGUGGGUUUGGGAAUGGUGGAUUUGGGAAUGGUGGAGGUGUUGGGAUUGGUGGGUUUGGGAAUGGUGGCUUUGGGAAUGGUGGAGGUGUUGGGAUUGGUGGGUUUGGGAAUGGUGGCUUUGGGAAUGGUGGAGGUAGUAAUGAUGGAGUUGAUGGGAACGGUGGAGGCGAUGGGAAUGGCAGAUUUGGGAAUGGCGUCCAACAUCCCCCACUGAUUCCCAACAUCCCCUGGUGGAUCCCAACGUCCCCCACCGACACCCCCAUCCCCGCCCCGUCCCCGCCGGGCCCGCGGUGACGCCGGGCCGGCCG